rnacentral:misc_RNA from 1 species
AAAAAGGGUCUGACGACUGCCCAAACCACACCGUGAACCAUUUUUCUUAUUGAUGCUCUGGCAGGCCGCCCGCUGGGGGGGCUCAGGCCGCGGUUUCGCGGUGGUCUGCCGGUGGCUCGCAAACCAAAACUCUUUUGAACGUCUCCCUGAGAAUAUCUAACUCCUCUUAGCGGGAGAAAAAAAAAGUCA